rnacentral:rRNA from 1 species
AAGGGCUUCGGCUCGUAAACCCCUGUCAUUCGUAAACAACCCUUCGCGUUGAACAGGCGCGAAGCUGAUAGUAGCGAAAGAGGAAGGGACGGCUAACUCUGUGCCAGCAGCCGCGGUAAUACAGAGGUCCCAAGCGUUGUUCGGAUUCACUGGGCGUAAAGGGUGCGUAGGUGGUGCGGAAAGUUUGGUGUGAAAGCUCCGGGCUCAACCCGGAAAUGGCACUGAAUACUCCCGCACUCGAGGAUCGGAGGGGAGACUGGAAUUCUCGGUGUAGCAGUGAAAUGCGUAGAUAUCGAGAGGAACACCGGUGGCGAAGGCGAGUCUCUGGACGAUUCCUGACGCUGAGGCACGAAGGCCGGGGGAGCAAACAGGAUUAGAUACCCUGGUAGUCCCGGCAGUAAACGGUGCACAUUUGCUGUAGGCGGAAUCGACCCCGUCUGUGGCGAAGCUAACGCGUUAAAUGUGCCGCCUGGGGAGUACGGUCGCAAGACUAAAACUCAAAGAAAUUGACGGGGGCCUGCACAAGCGGUGGAGUAUGUGGCUUAAUUCGAUGCAACGCGAAGAACCUUACCUGGCCUUGACAUGCUUGGUCGUACCUCGCUGAAAGGCGGGGGUCAGUUCGGCUGGACCUUGCACAGGUGCUGCAUGGCUGUCGUCAGCUCGUGUCGUGAGAUGUUGGGUUAAGUCCCGCAACGAGCGCAACCCUCGUGUCCCGUUGCC